UCCAGUCCAGCAAGAGGUCUGGGUGCUCGGUGGCUGCUCCUCAAGCAUUCAGAUGUGUCUGAGCAAACACAAGAAGCAAUCAAAUUACCCUAACACUGGCCACUUCAGAGCACUCACUUGAGAUGACAGUUUCAGCUUCAAAAGAGACUUAGCUGCCAGAAGCCUGCCCAGCCUCCUUGGGGUAUACCAGGUGUGCAGGCAAUGCUCAGAUCUCAGUGCAUGGUUCUAUGCAACUACAUGAGGACUGGAGAAG